rnacentral:lncRNA from 1 species
AGGGGGCGCGCAGGGACGCGCGCACUGGCACGUUCGGCCGCGCCCUCGCUCCCGCACACACUUGAUCACUCAGGCCGGGGCGCCCUGGCACGCUGGCUGCCCACUGACUCCCCGGGCAGAGGGAAGGGGAGGGUGUGACCGAGGGGUCCCGGGGAGGACGGCGCAAGCCCAGAAGCGGGUGUCUUUCGGGCGCCGGGCCUAGUGCUCCCGGGCCCGAUGGCCAGGUCCCGCCCCAGGGCUGGAGUUUCCCUCCCGCGCAGGCCCCCGCCCGCCGCAGCCUGCGUACCCGAGCCGGCUGGAGGCGGGCAGGCGGCCCGAAGGCUUGCUCUCUGUUCUAUAGAAAAGACAAGUGUUGGCGCAGUUGGACCCAGUGACUCCCGAGGCCUUUAAUAGUUCUGACAUUUCAUGAAGAAGGAACUGAGCCCAGAAGCCAUAAAAGGAGUAGAUGGAAGCCUGGCUUGGCCCCAGCCGCAGUUUCUUCCUGGUUCAAACGGCCCCCUCGUUUAUUUGGGCUGUGCUGCUUGCCGUAAGAUUCAAAUCUCUUCUCUCGCUACUGUGACUGACGCCACCUGCCUCAGUUUACCCAAUACUUGCCACUUCCGCUGUGCCCCACCAAUGAUGUUGACAAUCUGCUCACCAUGGCACAAGGACGGGCCUGGAGGCAUUUGAUAGCUGGGGCUUAGAAGGGCUCGGAGUGGAUCCACAGUCUCACAAGAGUACUGUGAUGAGCGCCUACUGGGUGCCGCCCGGGGUGGGUGUGGGGGAAGAGUGGGCCGGGCUGCCACAAACAGAAGCCCCUUUCUUCAAGGAGUUUACCAAGGAGAACGUUGAUAAAUAGGACAAAGCCCAGCGGUCCUGGUCCCCCCACCCCCACCCCGCCUCCCCGGCCCAGAGGGAGACGAAAACCAGGGCGCAAGAGAGUGCAGGAGUGGAGCCCCGCGGGGGGACGCGGCCCCGCCCCCGGCCCGGCCCGCAUCCCCGGAUGGCUGAAAGGGCCUCUGUGUUCCGUGCCCCGCCUGCUCGCCGGCCCCGAGCGCGCUUCCUCAGCUGCGCCAGCCCCUGGAGGCUCGGCAGCCCCUCUGGGGACAGACACAAAUAGUUCCCGGCCCAGCUGCCCGGCUAGUUACCUUGGGAACCAAACUCAAUUGCCUGACGUCACCGGGCCGUUGCACAGCAACCGACUCCGACUCUCCCGCCCUGCCGCCCCG